UCAUAUGUACAUGCCUACAAUGUUAAUGCAUUGGAUCCCAUUAGGACUCCACAGUUAAGUGAUCUUGGGCUAGAGUAUUAUUGGGAUGGGUGACCUCUUGGGAUGUCCUAGCGUUUUACAUGCC
rnacentral:rRNA from 1 species